AGCUGCAGUCGUGUUCCUGACCCCAGACUGUAAUUCUGAGUCGAGGCGUGCGGAGGGCUCCUGGACCUGGUCACACCCUCAACACAUUCUCCCCUCCUCCCCCGCUCACUGGGGUUUAUUUUUUAGGGGUGGGGCUGCCCCCCGAGGCUAUAAAAACACUGGUGAGAGAAAAAACAAGGUUUUUUCUCUUUGGGGAGGCUGCCUGCAGCACAGCCGAGAAGCAAGUGAGGAGAGCUCGGGGCCCACCCCCAGGCCAGCCGGACCAACACCAGGAGAGGCUGCCUCUCUCUGGCCAGACCGCGUUCUGCAUCCCAGCUGGCGCCCACCCUCCUGUGGGAGCUGCCUUGGCCAUGGCUUUCGUCUGGCUGGCGGUGUUCCUGGUGGCGUUCCUGGUGCCCGUCUCCGGCCUGCUGCCACCGGACCACGACGCUUACCCUAUGGACAUUUCCGAUCCAGACCCACCGAUUAAGAACCUAAGGAUGGAGCCAGAAAGAAAAAGAUUGACCUGGGACCUCCAUGGAAACGUUUCCGAAAUUAUGUGUUUCAUCAAUUCAAAAGCUUUCACUAAGGCACGGAAAAGCACGUAUUGCAGUAUUGCUGACUUGUCAUGCCAACCGACAAACUACAGCAUCAGGGUGACCAAAGGUCAGCCGUUCUCCACGUGGAUUCAGUAUCCUAGUCAAGAAGGGAAUCCCAGGGCGGCUGCAGAAAACCUGACCUGCUGGGUUCACGACGUGGAUUUCCUGACGUGCAGCUGGGCGGUGGGCCGGGAGGCCCCGAGGGACGUGCAGUACGGUCUCUACCUGGAGAACCUAGACUCCUAUGAGAAGUGGCCGUGCUCCCAGUACACAGCAGAUGAGCAAGGGACAAACGUCCAGUGCCGUUUUCACAACAUCUCUGUGUUAUCCAAGGAUCAAACCCGUUUCCUGGUGAAUGGCACCAGCAGUGGCUCCAAAAUCCCCUGCUCUGAAACGAGCGAUAAAUUAGCCAAAAUCGAGGUAUUAGCUGCUCCCAACAUCACUAGCAGGUGGUGUAACCAAAGCUACUCGUUCAUGCAAUGGCAAGUGAGGAGUCACCUUAACGAUGACCUCAAGUAUGAACUUCAGAUGCAGAAGGGUAUGGAGCUCGCCUACAAACAGGAGAUCUAUAAAGCCUUCUUGGAGCUGAGCAAUCCUGGGACCUACACGGUGCGAGUAAGAGCCAGGGAUGCCACGUUUUCCCAUUACAAACCUUGGGGCCCGUGGAGUGUCCCCCAACACUUCGUGUGUGAGGACGAGGAGGGCGCGCGCCUCCCCGUCUGGCUGACGUCUUUGCUGAUCGCGCUGGGGACGCUGCUCGCUAUGGGGUUCGUGCUCCUGUUUUGCAGGUUCUCGGUGAUGCAGAAGCUGUUCCCUCCCAUCCCUCACAUGAAAGACCAUAUCAACUGCAAACUUCAGAACGGAAGGACGAUGACCUGGGACCCUGACCAAGACAGCCAGGAGGAGUGUCCAGUGGCCGAGGUGCAGGUUCUGGGGGAAACAUGAAGCUGGUGCAGAGGCCCCGCUUUCCGCUAGGCGGAGGGCGCACAGCCUGGUCAUGGCUGGUCAUGGACGUUUCAAGCAGGGUCAGGGAUGGGAAAGCCCAGUGCAAUUGACACGGGGUCGCCUCGAGGAAGAAAGAACAAAACAUGUGUUGGGCUCAUGUCUCGAAUAGAGGGCUUUUUUCCUCAUCCGUGGCCCCCGGAAGUGGGGGCCACCCCCCAACGCCACUGAGACCCACUUUCCAGCCUCCUGGACUUGGCUGGUGCUCUCCUGUCCACUGGGUUUGCUCCUUCCCAAGUCCGUGAAGGGUCCCUGCCUGCUUGGUUUCUCUAUCCUUAACUGAACUUCGUUUUCUUGCUGCAUUUCCCCUUUGUAAGCCCCUUAGAUCACUUGCGUGACAACGCGGGGCCAGGGGGGUGGUGUCUACAUCCCUCCCCUGGCUACGUGUGCGACCCCAGGGAAGGCACACGGGAGACAGGCGUCAAAGCGGCAGGAAAGGGGGUGUCAGGGCAGCGGGGGCAGGCAGGCGCAGAGGAGCGGCCCUGCGUCCAGACGUGGUCGUGGUGGGCAGUGAAGACACCCACCUGUACGCCCACGGAAAAGGACGCCCAAGUGCACAGCCUGGCCCACGGGAACCCGAGUCUCCAAGAGGCAAGGCUUUCCUGGAGGACCUCUAAUUUCGUUCCUUUGUUUACACGCUUAACAUGUCAAGCUCUGUAGGAAAGAAUUCACCCCAGACGGCAGGUGCAGACUUGCUAGCUCUGAGGAAGGCACCCCUGCAGAGCCUGCAGGAUGGCGCACGGUCGAUGGCCCUCAAUGCACACAGGUGGAAGCGUGUCCCAGUUCUGACCCCGCAGUCAGCACAGGUCUGGGUAGACAGACGACGUCCCAGUUCGUCGAUGGCCCUCAAUGCACACGGGUGGAAGCGUGUCCCAGUUCUGACCCCGCAGUCAGCACAGGUCUGGGUAGACAGACGACGUCCCGGUUCCAAGUGACUCCACCCCGAGGGCCGGGGCACAGCCCCUGCAGUGGACCCGUCUGACCUCUCCAAGGUCACUUGGUGCUGGAAGCUCCACGUGGACCCAGGGAACAGUUCUGUUCUUGGGCGGCUCUGUGCGUGACCGUGAGGCCUCAGACUGGUGAUGACCCCGCAGGCACAGUCCUGGACCCUGAGAACACCCAAAGCGUCCCCAGAAUACACCCCACUCCCCCCACGUUAACAUACCAGGACCCUGGGGUCAGCCUGGUAGAGACUCUCAAAGCAAGUUCUCUCCCUGCAGUGAACAUCAGGCUUCCUGCAGAUACGGCUCAAAG